rnacentral:rRNA from 1 species
AGCGAACGUUUGCGGCGGGCCUAACACAUGCAAGUCGAACGGGUUAGCAAUAACCAGUGGCGCACGGGUGCGUAACACGUAGGUAAUCAACCCCUCGGUUCGGGAUAACGUUCUGAAAGGAGCGCUAAUACCGGACGUGUCUUCGGGAGCUUCGGCUCCUGUCGAGAAAGACCCUCAAGGGUUGCCGAGGGACGAGCCUGCGGCCCAUCAGCUAGUUGGCGAGGUAAUAGCUCACCAAGGCGAAGACGGGUAGCUGGUCUGAGAGGAUGAUCAGUCACACUGGAACUGAGACACGGUCCAGACUCCUACGGGAGGCAGCAGUGGGGAAUAUUGCGCAAUGGGCGAAAGCCUGACGCAGCCACGCCGCGUGAGCGAUGAAGGCCUUCGGGUCGUAAAGCUCUGUGGGGAGAGACGAAGAAAGCCUGUGAAGAGCAGGCCUUGACGGUAUCUCCUUAGCAAGCACCAGCUAACUCCGUGCCAGCCGCCGCGGUAACAC